rnacentral:rRNA from 1 species
CGGCCGCAAGGUUAAAACUCAAAUGAAUUGACGGGGGCCCGCACAAGCGGUGGAGCAUGUGGUUUAAUUCGAUGCAACGCGAAGAACCUUACCUACUCUUGACAUCCAGAGAAUUUAGCAGAGAUGCUUUAGUGCCUUCGGGAACUCUGAGACAGGUGCUGCAUGGCUGUCGUCAGCUCGUGUUGUGAAAUGUUGGGUUAAGUCCCGCAACGAGCGCAACCCUUAUCCUUUGUUGCCAGCACGUCAUGGUGGGAACUCAAGGGAGACUGCCGGUGAUAAACCGGAGGAAGGUGGGGAUGACGUCAAGUCAUCAUGGCCCUUACGAGUAGGGCUACACACGUGCUACAAUGGCGCAUACAAAGAGAAGCGAACUCGCGAGAGCCAGCGGAACUCAUAAAGUGCGUCGUAGUCCGGAUUGGAGUCUGCAACUCGACUCCAUGAAGUCGGAAUCGCUAGUAAUCGUAGAUCAGAAUGCUACGGUGAAUACGUUCCCGGGCCUUGUACACACCG